rnacentral:rRNA from 1 species
GUCAGAUGUGAAAGCCCGGGGCUCAACCUCGGAAUUGCAUUUGAAACUGGCAAACUAGAGUACUGUAGAGGGGGUAGAAUUUCAGGUGUAGCGGUGAAAUGCGUAGAGAUCUGAAGGAAUACCGGUGGCGAAGGCGGCCCCCUGGACAGAUACUGACACUCAGAUGCGAAAGCGUGGGGAGCAAACAGGAUUAGAUACCCUGGUAG